UUCUAAAAAAGCAUCUGGUCUCAAAAAUUAAACAGGUUUGGGCCUGGCCAGUACUUGGAAGGGAGACUGCCUGGGAAUAUCAGGUUCUAUAGACU
rnacentral:rRNA from 1 species